rnacentral:rRNA from 1 species
GUGUGCGAGUCAUUGGGUAUUUUGUUGAAACCUAAGGGCGCAAUUAAAAUAACUAUUUUAUGGGAUUACAAGUGAAUUAAUUUUCAUUUCUUCAUCCCGGGGCGUUCUAUACGAACAUGGUGCAAGCAAUUGAACCCUCUGUUCAAGAGCGUACCUUGAGCAUACAUGCUGUGACCCGAAAGAUGGUGAACUAUACCUGAUCAGAUCGAAGCCAGGAGAAAUUCUGGUGGAGGAUCGAAACAGUUCUGACGUGCAAAUCGAUUGUCAGAAUUGGGUAUAGGGGCGAAAGACCAAUCGAACCAUCUAGUAGCUGGUUCCCUCCGAAGUUUCCCUCAGGAUAGCUGGCGCAAAGAAUUAUAUUGUAUAUAAUCUUAUCUGGUAAAGCGAAUGAUUAGAGGCCUUGGGGCCGAAACGACCUCAACCUAUUCUCAAACUUUAAAUGGGUAAGAACCUCAUCUUUCUUGAUCUGAAGAUAUUGGGGUUUAGAUAUAUUGUGCCCAGUGGGCCACUUUUGGUAAGCAGAACUGGCGCUGUGGGAUGAACCAAACAUGAUGUUACGGCGCCUAAAUUAAUGACUCAUAUUGAUACCAUGAAAGGCGUUGGUUGCUUUAAAACAGCAGGACGGUGGACAUGGAAGUCGUAAUCCGCUAAGGAGUGUGUAACAACUCACCUGCCGAAGCAACUAGCCCUUAAAAUGGAUGGCGCUCAAGUCAUAUGCCUAUACAUCAUCGCUAGAAUAAAAAUUGUUGACCAUUCGGUCAUCAUUAUGAAAUUCUAGUGAGUAGGAGGGUACAAUGGUGUGCGCAGAAGUGUUUGGCGUGAGCCUGCAUGAAGCCGCCAUUGGCACAGAUCUUGGUGGUAGUAGCAAAUAAUCGAAUGAGAUCUUGGAGGACUGAAGUGGAGAAGGGUUUCGUGUGAACAGUGGUUGAUCACGAGUUAGUCGGUCCUAAGCUUUAUGCGAAAGCUGUUUAAUUUAUGUUACACACAAAAUUUUUGUUGUACAUAAUUCAAUAAAAGCGAAAGGGAAUACGGUUCCAAUUCCGUAACCUGUUGAGUAUACGUUUGUUUAUUAAAAAUGGGUCUUAUUACACUCAUCCUGGCAACAGGAACGACCAUAGAGAAGCCUUCGAGAGAUACUGGAAGAGUUUUCUUUUCUGCUAAACAAACGUAUCACCAUGGAAGUCUUUUAUAGAGAGAUAUGGUGGAUGGCUUGGAAGAGCAUGACAUUUACUGUUGUGUCAGUAUUUUCUCCUUGGACCUUGAAAAUCUAUGGUGGGGCCACGCAAACUUCUCAACAGACCGUACCGAUAUCCGC